rnacentral:rRNA from 1 species
GAUACAAUUUUCUGGAGCCUCAAUAAAAAGAAGAGAUUUUCUACUAGAUCGGUAUAUGAAUGGUUAGAGAGGAAUCUAGUUGGUCCUAAUUAUAAAUAGAUCUGGAAAGCUAGUAUCCCAUUGAAAAUUAAAAUCUUUCUAUGGCAGCUAUUCCAAAAUGUUGUGCUUACGCGGGAUAAUUUGCGGAAAAGGAAUUGGCCCCGGAAUCCUAUUUGUUCUUUCCGCACUAGUAUGGAAAAGGCAAAUCAUCUGUUCUUUGCAUGUCCACUUGCUCGAACGGUUUGGGGGGUCUUCGGGGUUACGGCCGGGGCUUCCUGCUGUCCCCGAUCUUUGUGGCAAUGUCGGGCAUGA